AGUGAACGCUGGCGGUAGGCCUAACACAUGCAAGUCGAACGGCAGCACAGUAAGAGCUUGCUCUUACGGGUGGCGGGUGGCGGACGGGUGAGGAAUACAUCGGAAUCUACUUUUUCGUGGGGGAUAACGUAGGGAAACUUACGCUAAUACCGCAUACGACCUACGGGUGAAAGCAGGGGAUCUUCGGACCUUGCGCGAUUGAAUGAGCCGAUGUCGGAUUAGCUAGUUGGCGGGGUAAAGGCCCACCAAGGCGACGAUCCGUAGCUGGUCUGAGAGGAUGAUCAGCCACACUGGAACUGAGACACGGUCCAGACUCCUACGGGAGGCAGCAGUGGGGAAUAUUGGACAAUGGGCGCAAGCCUGAUCCAGCCAUACCGCGUGGGUGAAGAAGGCCUUCGGGUUGUAAAGCCAUUUUGUUGGGAAAGAAAAGCAGCAGGUUAAUACCCCGCUGUUCUGACGGUACCCAAAGAAUAAACACCGGCUAACUUCGU
rnacentral:rRNA from 1 species